GAUGAACGCUGGCGGCGUGCUUAACACAUGCAAGUCGAACGAGAAAUGUAGACGGAAACCUUCGGGCGGAAGCCUUCAUUUCGAGUGGCGGACGGGUGAGUAACGCGUGGGUAACCUGCCUCAUACAGGGGGAUAACAGUUGGAAACGACCGUUAAUACCGCAUAAGACCACAGCAUCGCAUGAUGCGGGGGUAAAAACUCCGGUGGUAUGAGAUGGACCCGCGUUCGAUUAGCCAGUUGGCGGGGUAACGGCCCACCAAAGCGACGAUCGAUAGCCGAUCUGAGAGGAUGACCGGCCACAUUGGGACUGAGACACGGCCCAAACUCCUACGGGAGGCAGCAGUGGGGAAUAUUGCACAAUGGGGGAAACCCUGAUGCAGCGACGCCGCGUGAGUGAAGAAGUACUUCGGUAUGUAAAGCUCUAUCAGCAGGGAAGAAAAUGACGGUACCUGAGUAAGAAGCCCCGGCUAACUACGUG
rnacentral:rRNA from 1 species